rnacentral:rRNA from 1 species
GCGACCCCAGGUCAGGCGAA